AGAAUCAACGCUGGCGGCGUGCCUCAGACAUGCAAGUCGAACGCGAAAGUCCCCUUCGGGGGGCAAGUAGAGUGGCGCACGGGUGAGUAACACGUAGGUAAUCUACCUUUGGAUGGGGAAUAACAACCGGAAACGGUUGCUAAUACCGCAUAAUGCAGCGGCACCUAAUGGUGACAGUUGUUAAAGCGGGGGAUCGAAAGACCUCGCGUCUGAAGAGGAGCCUGCGGCGGAUUAGCUAGGUUGGUAAGGUAACGGCUUACCGAAGGCAACGGGUCCGU
rnacentral:rRNA from 1 species